GACGAACGCUGGCGGCGUGCUUAACACAUGCAAGUCGAACGGAAAGGCGUAGCUUGAGUCGGGUGCUCGAGUGGCGAACGGGUGAGUAACACGUGAGUAACCUGCCCUUAGCUAUGUGACAACUUCAGGGAGAUGGGGCUAAUACAGGAUAGGUACUCCUGCUGAAAGGUGGGGGUUGGAACGUUUCGACGGUUGGGGAUGUACUGGGGGCUUAUCAGCUUGCUGGUGAGGUGGUGGCUUACCAAAGCAUGGACCGGUAGCCGGCCUGGGAGGGUGACCUGCCACAUUGGAAUGGAGAUGCGACCCAGACUCCAAUGGGACGCAGCGGUGGAGAAGAGUACACUGUGGGCGGGGGCCUGAUGCAACGACGCCGCGUGGGGGAAGACGGGAUGCGAGUUGUAAACCACUUUCGCCUGUGACGAGGAGUGAGUGACGGUAAUGGGGAAAGAAGCACCGGCUAACUACGUG
rnacentral:rRNA from 1 species